rnacentral:rRNA from 1 species
GCAUAUCAAUAAGCGGAGGAAAAAGAAACCAGUGAGGGGAUUGCCCCAGUAACGGCGAGUGAAGCGGCAAGAGCUCAAAUUUGAAAGCUGGCUCCCUUCGGGGUCCGCAUUGUAAUUUGCAGAGGAUGCUUCGGGAGCGGUCCCCCAUCUAAGUGCCCUGGAACGGGACGUCAUAGAGGGUGAGAAUCCCGUAUGGGAUGGGGUGUCCGCGCCCGUGUGAAGCUCCUUCGACGAGUCGAGUUGUUUGGGAAUGCAGCUCUAAAUGGGUGGUAAAUUUCAUCUAAAGCUAAAUAUUGGCCGGAGACCGAUAGCGCACAAGUAGAGUGAUCGAAAGAUGAAAAGCACUUUGAAAAGAGAGUUAAAAAGCACGUGAAAUUGUUGAAAGGGAAGCGCUUGCGACCAGACUCGCUCGCGGGGUUCAGCCGGCAUUCGUGCCGGUGUACUUCCCCGCGGGCGGGCCAGCGUCGGUUUGGGCGGUCGGUCAAAGGCCCUCGGAAGGUAACGCCCCCUCGGGGGCGUCUUAUAGCCGAGGGUGCAAUGCGACCUGCCUGGACCGAGGAACGCGCUUCGGCUCGGACGCUGGCAUAAUGGUCGUAAGCGACCCGUCUUGAAACACGGACCAAGGAGUCUAACAUCUACGCGAGUGUUCGGGUGUCAAACCCGUGCGCGCAGUGAAAGCGAACGGAGGUGGGAACCCUUUUGGGUGCACCAUCGACCGAUCCUGAAGUCUUCGGAUGGAUUUGAGUAAGAGCGUAGCUGUUGGGACCCGAAAGAUGGUGAACUAUGCCUGAAUAGGGCGAAGCCAGAGGAAACUCUGGUGGAGGCUCGUAGCGGUUCUGACGUGCAAAUCGAUCGUCGAAUUUGGGUAUAGGGGGCGAAAGACUAAUCGAACCAUCUGGUAGCUGGUUCCUGCCGAAG